GNUCAAGAGUACGNGAAACCGUCUGGGAGUAAACGGGUGGUUCCCGAAAGUACGAAAGGGGAGAUUCAGGUCUCGCUGCGCGUCGGGCGGCGCCCGCGAUCAGAGAUGGUGUUCUCGCGGCCGGGGGGCGACCCUCGGUCNNNNNNNNNCUCCACUCCGCGGGCGCCGUUUGUUCCCGGCGCCGGAGUGACGCACUUCUCCCCCAGUAGAACGUCGCGACCCGUCGGGCGCCGGCCUAAGGUCCCGGGUGGAGUCUGCGCAGUUCGCUGCGCACGACCCCGGGGAUCCCGGCCGGGUGCUCGACGGUACGAAGAGAGGAAGGAGUCGACGCGCCGCUCGUCGGCGUCCGGCCCUCCGCAAGCGCCCGCGGGAGUCCGAGACUCCGGGCCCGGCCCGGUCUCGGUCCCUCCGCGGGGCUGUUUGCGAUGAGGAGGUGUCCUCGGAC
rnacentral:rRNA from 1 species